rnacentral:rRNA from 1 species
CCUGGCGGCCUUAGCGCGGUGGUCCCACCUGACCCCAUGCCGAACUCAGAAGUGAAACUCCGUAGCGCCGAUGGUAGUGUGGGGUCUCCCCAUGCGAGAGUAGGGAACUGCCAGGC